rnacentral:rRNA from 1 species
UACGUAGGGCGCAAGCGUUAUCCGGAAUUAUUGGGCGUAAAGAGCUCGUAGGCGGUUUGUCGCGUCUGCCGUGAAAGUCCGGGGCUCAACUCCGGAUCUGCGGUGGGUACGGGCAGACUAGAGUGAUGUAGGGGAGACUGGAAUUCCUGGUGUAGCGGUGAAAUGCGCAGAUAUCAGGAGGAACACCGAUGGCGAAGGCAGGUCUCUGGGCAUUAACUGACGCUGAGGAGCGAAAGCAUGGGGAGCGAACAGGAUUAGAACCUACCCGACGAGUCCAAGA